rnacentral:rRNA from 1 species
GACCGCGGUUAUACGACAGACCCAAGAUAAUACUACCGGCGUAAAGCACGACUAAAACAUGAGUCCAACCAUUAAGGUUAAAAUUAGGCUGAGCUGUAAAAAGCUAUAAGCCACACUAACCAUCUAGGCCUUAAUACCUAAACAACUUUAACUCGUGAAAGUCAGGACA